AGGAUAAACGCUGGCGGCGUGCAUGAGACAUGCAAGUCGAACGGACGAUCAGGGCUUGCUCUGAUCGUUAGUGGCGGACGGCUGAGUAACGCGUAGGUGACCUGCCCCGAAGUGGGGAAUAACUGCCCGAAAGGGUGGCUAAUACCGCAUGUGGUGGUGUGUUCAUUCACACCAGUAAAGCCGCAAGGCGCUUCGGGAGGGGCCUGCGUCCGAUUAGCUCGUUGGUGGGGUAACGGCUCACCAAGGCGACGAUCGGUAGGUGGUCUGAGAGGACGAUCACCCAGACUGGGACUGAGACACGGCCCAGACUCCUACGGGAGGCAGCAGUCGGGAAUUUUGCGCAAUGGACGAAAGUCUGACGCAGCAACGCCGCGUGAGGGAUGAAGGCCUUCGGGUUGUAACCUCUUUAUCAGGGAAGAUAAUGACGGUACCUGAUGAAUAAGUCACGGCUAACUACGUGCCAGCAGCCGC
rnacentral:rRNA from 1 species